UACGUAGGGUGCGAGCGUUGUCCGGAAUUACUGGGCGUAAAGAGCUCAUAGGUGGUUUGUCGCGUUGUUCGUGAAAACCGGGGGCUUAACCCUCGGCGUGCGGGCGAUACGGGCAGACUUGAGUACUGCAGGGGAGACUGGAAUUCCUGGUGUAGCGGUGGAAUGCGCAGAUAUCAGGAGGAACACCGGUGGCGAAGGCGGGUCUCUGGGCAGUAACUGACGCUGAGGAGCGAAAGCGUGGGAAGCGAACAGG
rnacentral:rRNA from 1 species